AGGGUACUUCCCCUGCAGCUGUCCUGCUGCUGCUAAACUUUCAUCGGACGCGUUGCUUGCUAGUUAAAUAUUUACCUCGGAUUCUGGCAGGGCUUGUCAGUAAGUUUUUUAUGGUUUACUUCAGGGAACAUCUGGUCAAUAAUUGCCAGUGGGCUUCAAUCGUAAAUUUUUGACCUGACUUUUGUGGGACUUGCUGUAUGUCCUUGACCAUUUAUGUAUGAUUGCAUACCUGUAAUGUGGAUUCAUUGAGCAGUACUGCGAAUUCUAGGCGCCAUGAAUGGUGUAUUGCUACGCAGACGACGGUCCAUUCUGCAACCGCAUGUCUGUGACAUUGCCAAUUGGGUGCUCAGUCGUUUGGAAUUGUUAAGCUGCCAUUCAUUUACCUGUUGUAUUGUUCUCAGCUAAAAUAUACCCUUAAUUUUC